rnacentral:rRNA from 1 species
UCCUGACUGACCGAUAGUGAACCAGUACCGUGAGGGAAAGGCGAAAAGAACCCCGGCGAGGGGAGUGAAAAAGAACCUGAAACCGUGUACGUACAAGCAGUGGGAGCACGCUUAGGCGUGUGACUGCGUACCUUUUGUAUAAUGGGUCAGCGACUUAUAUUCUGUAGCAAGGUUAACCGAAUAGGGGAGCCGAAGGGAAACCGAGUCUUAACUGGGCGUUAAGUUGCAGGGUAUAGACCCGAAACCCGGUGAUCUAGCCAUGGGCAGGUUGAAGGUUGGGUAACACUAACUGGAGGACCGAACCGACUAAUGUUGAAAAAUUAGCGGAUGACUUGUGGCUGGGGGUGAAAGGCCAAUCAAAC